AGGAACCCCGCCAGCAAAGCAGGAGUUGCAGCAAAGCCUUGGGAGGUGGCGAAGCUGCCGGAAUCUCUGAGAUGCGGAGGAGGAUGGCGCUGGAUUGGAGUGUCAUUGUCCUGACAUCAUCUUCCAGUAAACAUUAAAAUGACUACUUCCAGAUAUCUUCAACUCAUGUCUCAGUGGAGUAAUGGCAACCUGUGUGGAACCUGGCAUGAUGCCUCUCUCCUAUUCUUACCAGUGGACGUGAAAUUUGGUGCUUAAUUCUUCCAGACUCUCAAUUUCAUCUUCUUAAAACAGAGUGUCUUCCAAAAUUUAUGUCAAUAUUCUUUGGGCCAAUGGUGCAAUUAGAUUGUGUUAUAGUGGAACAUCUUUCUCUUAGACAGGGCCAUACAUAUGGGUGGCCCAUUCAGCCAAGAUUUUUCUUUCCCAGAGACUACCAGUAAGAUCAAUGUAGUAUGGUCCAAGUGUUAAAGAACUAGUAACAGAUAUAAAAAGCAGGCAGACAAGAGGAUCAUCAAAAAGAUGGCUGACAGAUGGGAACCUUUAAAACAGACAAAGUUGCACAUACAGAUUUUUUCUUAGCUUACAGUCAGGGCAGGUAGAGGAAUAAGCUACUGCAGCUGCCUCAGAUUCUUCUUACCAUCAUUGUUGGCCACAUUCCUAGAGUCAGAAGUCCAGGAAUGUGGGCCUUUAGGAGGAGUAAAGUUUAAGUCAGAAUAUUGAACCCUCCUUGGUUCCAAAUAACCAAGAAGAUCAUCUUUUUAGUUUUUUCUCCUUUUAUCCUUGUGUGUAGAACAAUACAUGAAAGUAGAAUUUUAAUCCUUAAUCAUCUUGCUUUUAGUGUAGACCCAGAAACAGCAAUCUUAAACUUUCCAAUGAUCAACAAUAUUUUAAAAUUAUAAAUGUUUAUCCUUUUUGUGUUAAAUCUUAUUUUCCCAUUGUUUUAGAAUAAUUUUUAUGAAUUUAUUACUUAAUACUUGUCUUUAGUUUUUUUGGUGCUAUAUAUGCAAUUUAAAAAUGUCCAAAAUGUUACAAACAUAUGAUCAUUAUGUAAAGAUUGAAAAAUACAGUUAAAGAAAACAGUCUUGUCAUCCUCCAUUAUGCCACUUAGAUAUGGUAUCCUUCAAAGGAUGGCCUGUUCUCACUGAGUUUAAAAUCUUUUUUUCUUUUUUUGGUGAUAUUCUGGAUCUAACCCAGGACAUGCUUUACCACUAAGCCAUAUACCAGGCACUCCACUUAUUCUAGUUUGUGCAGUUUUAACUUAGGUUAUUCAUGAAAAUCAAGUUUAGUUACCAUUUUAAGCCAAUUUUAUGUUGAAGAAAAAUCCUAGAAGCAAUUGACAUUAAACAUUUUAUAGAAAACAAUACCCUUCAUUAGCUGAUCACCUAGGAAAAAAUGUGUGGAUUAGUAAAUUCAACAACAUUUUAAAAUUUUUAUCUCUUUAAUCAUUUUAAGUUAUGUGAAAUGAAAGGUAUUUGUAUCCAUUCUUUUAAUUUUAUGAACACUCUUUAUUUUUUUAAAAUAUUUAUUUUUUUACUUGUAGUUGGACACAGUAGCUCUAUUUCGUUUAUUUUUAUAUGGUGCUGAGGAUCGAACCCAGGGCCUGGUACAUGCAAGGUGAGCUCUCUACCCCUGAGCCACAACCCCAGCCCCUUAUGAGUGCUCUCAAAUGUCAAUUUUUGGUGUUUUUCAAGCACACAUGUAGACACAGUAUACAAUAUACCAGUGUGCUCACAUAUACAUGAAAAUCGGCAGAAAACAAAGACUUUAUUGCUUUUUGCCUGUAUGACUUCCACAGGUGGGAUAAAAAAGAGUUAUAAGGAUUUAUUAUAAUAGACUGUCAGAUUUAGCCCUUUAGAAAUUAAAAUAGAACCUUGUGAAGUUUUAAACAUUGGGAAUGAAGUUUUGUUAGUCAUGGUGGAUGUUGAAGUCAAAGGUUCAGCUGGCCUUGCCUCCUUGAGGAGGCAGAUUUACUGCCACCAUCACUACUGUUUAUUUUCCUGCUUAGGACUCUUCAAAGGAGAAGAUGACUUUCUUUUUCUAGUGUAUUUGAGAGCUUGAACAGCUGGCCUCUGAAUAAAGACAGCAGAAAGAAAAACAGAGGGCAAUAAACUUCAGUUAGACAAAAUAGGACUAAUUGGUUCAGGAGAAAAGGUGAAUUUAUCAUAAAAAAUUGAGCUCAGAAAAAGAUGAAGACAAAAAGUUAACAUGGUUAUUAUUACUCUAGAAGGGGCAUGCAUAAAAUAACUUUAUCAGACCACAGUUGGAUCCGAUUAUAGAGUCAGCCCAGAUAUUUAAGCAUGUGAAGUCCUCAGAAAAAGGGUUUUAAAGAAAAAUAAAACUUGCAAGAAGUUUAACAUUGCUUCUUUUGCUUCCCCUCUUUCCUGGGAGCUCAGCCUAUACUCAAGCUGUGUGUUCCGUGUCCCCCCCUUCCCGUUUAGAGCUGUAGUUUCCGCUCUGAACUGCCUUGGAGCCUACUAAGCUACUGCCUUAGCCCCUUCCUUUCCUUUGCAGCUGCAGUUUCCACUCCAAAUUGUCAUGGAGCAUAUUCAUGCUGCUCUGAGAGGUGAUAAGACUCUUUCUAUCCAGAGGGAUACGCCUGACUUGGGUCCUGGAACCUACCUUUUCCUGUGGUCAGUGGAUCCUGGUGAGUUGGUCUGUCCUUCCUCUGAGUCUAGUUGGGGUUCAGCCAUUCUGGGGGAACUGGAGCAUCAGCCUAAAGGAACCCAGAAAAGUCUUCAGGUGGUGUGCACUCUUCUGUCAGUUCCGGUGCUCCCUCUCUACCAUCAAAUCAAAUGGCAGUUCCAAGGACCUGAAUGGUUGGAAUCCCACUGAGACCUCUGGAAAAUGGUAUGGCAGUUACACUUAACAAGAGACCAAGCAUCACUCAGAGGGUUGGAGAAUCCGGGUUUUUUUAUACUGGCAGACCCAGAUGAGGUGGUGCUCUGAAGAUCUGGGCCCUGAGCUGAGGUAACAUGGGGCUUUUAUAGGAAAUUUGACAUCAUUUCUUAACCAUUACAACAUUGGUGGGCUUGGAUUCUUGGUCUACAUGACCAAAGACCAUGCACAGGGAAUUUAAGGUAAGUAGUUCCCAGGUGUAGAACAAAGACAUUAAACACCUAUGUCAUUGUGAAAUGGCCUUCACCAUAGGGAGCAAUAACUCAAGAUGACUUGAGUUCAUCUCCCUAAGAGCUAAAGUUCUAAGAAUUAAGCCAAUGAGAUUUUAGUUUAGUCAGCAGUUAAGUGGCAUAGUAACAUAUAAUUUAUACUAGCAGUUAAGUGGUGUAGCUAUAUUCCUACAGAGUUUAGAAAGGUACAAAGUAUAGUAAAAUCAACCCUUUCCAUAGGCUUUGGUUUUUCAUCAUUGUUCUUAUACCUUCAUUUUAUAAUCAGGUCUGGUAUCUGUCACACCACCUUUCAAUUCUGCUUUUCCUUUACUGCCUCCUUUUUGUGUUGUGAGGAGACCAGGAAUCACUGUCAAGCUCCCUUCAGUCAUCUUCUCCAUUUAUUUAAGGCUUGAAAUACUUCAGCUGUGAAGUCUUCACAACUGGUGCAGCAUUGUCUCCUAAAAACAAUCAUGUAAUCUUGGAAUGGGAUUCUUCCCUCUGAGAUAUCAGGAAAACUUGGUCUAUGCCAUUAUCUACAUCUGGAUUCUUGACAUGGGGAAACUGGCCUUGCUGAGAAUCUCACUGAGUUGCUGUCUGGCCUCAAAAUUGUGAUCCUUCUGCUUCAGCCUCCUGAGUUACUAUAAUUACAGUUUAAAACCUGCUUUUUUGGAAGUAAGAAUAACUAUUCCUGCUUGCCUUCCUUAAACUUACAUUCUGUGUACGUCUUUACCUGUGAGUGAAAUUACCUCAGUCGGGCAGGAGUUGAAUCCUAAUAGUAGUCACAUAAGCUUAGAGUGGAUCUUUCCCAACUCCAGAUUUAACGUGCUCCAACAUCUAUAUCUGGAUUCCUGAACCUGAGUAAUUCUUAUUACAUUCACCACCAUGUUACUCUGGAAUGAAGAAACAAAGAGUACAAAAGUGCCACUCUGCAUGUACAGCAAUUUUUCCACUGACCCAAGAGAAGGGAUCACAGGUAAAUGACAAAGGUCAGGUGGACUGGAUCAGGCAUGCCAGAAACAAAAGAAAGAACAAAAGGAAAAACAUAACACCGAAGUUAGCAAUAGGCCGGAUACAAGAAUACCCAAGUAAGUAGGACAUAGAGUGACCCAAUUCAAAAUGGUAGGAGCAUUAACUUGAGAGCUAAGGAUUAAGGGAGGGCAAGUGAUAGACAAUGAACUAUACUAACUUGAGCUCAUAGGAAUAGAGGCGACAGUGUUGAGUACCACAUUCCCAAUAUAACUUCAUGAAAGCACAGCAGAUAUGAGUUCUCACAACCUGCUCAACCACCUGUGAGCAGAUUUCACAGAGGCUCAUCUGACAAUGUGAAUUUUCAGAAAGAUGAAAUUGCAAGCCUCCCAAAGUCACACUGCAUCUUGAGACAAGAGCACAACAUCCUGGCUCCACAAUCUAGCCUUAAUGGAAGUUAUUGGUCAAAGGAAGAAUGGUGCAUGCAUUUCAGAUCAUAACCUGCUAUUACAUUGAGUAUUCUUAAAAACUGAAAUUCUAGGUGCCAAUAUAUUAUAAAUUGUGUGAGAUUAUUCCUAAUGAGAUAUAUUAAUCAUGGAACACAAAGGCCAGUUCUGUAUACCAUGUACCCAAUAUGUGUUGUUCACAGAAGCAAGAGGAAAGAUCUAAAAUUUUAUGAAAAUCUUAAUACAUCUACAUUUGCAGUCUUCUUCAUAAAGAGACUUGCAUGAUAACUGUCCAUGUGAGUAGCAAAAUAAAGGUAAAGAAUAAAUAGAUAUAGGAUUGCUAUGGGUUGGAGAAAUGAAUUUUGAAUGUCACUUAAAGGGAGCAUUGCUCAUAAGUUUGGGGCAGAAAUUCUGAGUACGUAGAUUUUUCCAUCUUUACAAAGCUGCCUCUCCAGAGCAAUCUUAGAAACAUUUUGUCAUUUCUGUUUUCCUUUUGAAUGAGUUUUUCAACCAUAGUUUGUUAAAUUAGCAUUCUAUAUAUGUUGAGGGAUUUUUAUUUGUAAUUUGUUUUUUAGGUCUCCCAUCAGUGUCUAUAAACUCUAGCCCCACUCUGAUUGGAUUAGAGUGGAUUUGGUCCUAGGUAUUUAUGGGUCUUUCAUAGGUGAUGUGGUUUAAAUAUGAGGUAUCCUCUAUCACCUCAUGUGUAAGGCAAUGUAAGACAUUUCAGAGGUAAAAUGAUUAGAUUAUGGAAGCUAAACAUGAUCAUUGAUGGACUAACUGGAUGGUAACUGUAGGCAGGUAGGGUGUAGCCGGAGGUGGUGAUCAAUGAGGGCAUGACAUUGGAUUUUAUAUUUUAUCCCAGGUUGGUACAGCACUUUGUUUAUGUCUCUUUCUAUAUCUCUCUCUGUCUCUGUCUCUCUGUCUCUCUUUCUCUUUCUCUCUCCAUAUUCCUCUCUCUCUACAUUUCCCUCUCCCCUCCCUUUCUUUGCUCUUUCUUGUUGUCAUGCCCCGAGGUGCUUUCUUGUGCCACACACUUUCACCAUGACAUUCUGCCUCACCUUGGUCUCCAAGCUACAGAGUUAGCCAAUGGUAGACUAAACCUCAAAAACCAUAAGCCAAAAUAAACCUUUCCUAUUCUAAUUGUUCUUGACAGGUUUCUGAUCACAACUAUAUAAAAGCUAAUCAAAAUGAUGGGAUGCUUCUUUAACCUGGUGGAUGAACUCAUACCACUAUGUCUUAUCCAUGUCAAGAUUCAUUUACAUAGGACAAUUAUUUACAUAGCAGAUAUCCUUUUGGCUUUUGUAUAAUCUGUGUUCACUCUAUUCCUACCAAGAUAGACACUGUCUAGGAGAGCCUUUACUAGAAAAUAAGUUACUGUUAAGUAUGUUGGUAAUACAAAGUUCAGAGGAGAAAAAAUAAUACGUUUCUUUAUUGCUAGAUCCCAGUGAGAAGUGGACAGCAUGCCCCACAGUGUUUAUAGGAAGUCAGACAUAAACCCCACAGAACAGAGGAACAGUGAGAAAAGAGAGAAACAAGAGAUACCAGUGUGCUAUAGCCUUCAUGUGGCACAGGAUAUUUUGAGCAUGUUUCUCAAGGAGAGUCAUAAUUGGUGAUUUCCAGGAAGCAAGCACAUUUUACAUGGAAUCACACUGUAUAUGAGAACGGGUCACUGGAAUAUCUCAUCAUCCUUGUAGGAAAUUGGAGCCAGCAUACCUGUAAACUGCCACAUCUACCUGUCCCCUGGAAGUUGUCACCAUGAGGUGGUUUUAUGAAGUGAUGCAAGAUAAAUAAAUAUAUACAUUACUAUAAGCUCAUACUAGCAAUUUGUUUUAUUCAUAUGUGAAGCAGUUUGUAGUUCUUUUCCUCCUUUAAGCUCUUUAGUGGAAGAGAAAGAGAACUAUAAACUGUUUCAUGGAUGUCUAUACCAAAUUUUUGGUAUGAGCAAGUUAGAUAUGUAUACAAAAAUGUAUGUCAAGGCAAUGUAAAAUUAUUAGAAUUCACUACAGUUAAACUUGAAAUUCUAGUAGUUCACUAAUAACUUCAUCUUUAUUCCUGAUGGAAGGUAAAUAACAUUGGUCAAUUUAUAUAAAACCGUAUUUUAGAAUGUUUUCUCAAUAAUAGAUAAUAUAGAAUCACUGAGAAAUGGUAAGUUUCAGAGAAAAGUAAAGUAUUCCAUAGAUCCAAUAGUGUACAUUUUCCUUUCUUUCCAAUAAAGAUACAUCUUGAAAUUGACAGUAGGAACACUGUUGGCUAGAAAGCUCAUGGUGAUUGUGAUAGUGCUCAGAUGCACAUACAUAAAUUUAGUCUAAAAAUCUUGUUUGUUAAAAAUUAAAUUAUAAAUCAUGUUAACUUAUGACUACACACACACACACACACACAUACACACAAACAAAUCUCUUCUGUUGUCACCUUCUGGUGACUGUAACUUUAAAACAUGUAGAAACAGUGUCCAUAGAGUAGAAAGAAUUUUGGAAAAUAUAGCACAAGUCUCUCAAGAAUAGGCUUGGGAGGCUGAGACAGGAGGAUUAUGAGUUCAAAGCCAGCCUCAGCAAAAGUGAGGCACUAAGCAAGUCAGUGAAACCCUGUCUCUAAAUGAUAUACAAACAGGGCUAGGGAUGUGGCUCAGUAUUUAAGUGUCCCUGGGUUCAAUCCCUGGUAUCAAAAAAAAAAAAAAAAAAGCCCUAUCACCUGUGCUUCUGAUUAAUAGAGA